rnacentral:rRNA from 1 species
UACGUAGGGGGCAAGCGUUGUCCGGAUUUAUUGGGCGUAAAGAGCGUGUAGGCGGCCUUACAGGUCAGCUGUGAAAACUCGAGGCUCAACCUCGAGACGUCGGUUGAAACCGUAUGGCUAGAGUCCGGAAGAGGAGAGUGGAAUUCCCGGUGUAGCGGUGAAAUGCGCAGAUAUCGGGAAGAACACCCGUGGCGAAGGCGGCUCUCUGGGACGGUACUGACGCUGAGACGCGAAAGCAUGGGGAGCGAACAGG